rnacentral:lncRNA from 1 species
AAGGUAGCAAUACACAGUUAGCAAAUGAAGCUGAAAUUUGAUCUUUAAUUUCAAGAACAUGUGCAUGCAUUUUGAAAUGGAUAUAGCCAAUGCUACAAGAAUACCCAAACAUGUAUACACAUUUAGAAUCCUAUUUCUCAGCAAAUUUCAAAUAUUUAACCAAACACUUAAAACAAAAUUGUACAAGUUCAGUAUCCAUGGAAACAUUUGGUGUUU